rnacentral:rRNA from 1 species
UACGGAGGGUGCAAGCGUUAUCCGGAUUUACUGGGUUUAAAGGGUGCGUAGGUGGGCAGUUAAGUCAGCGGUGAAAUCUCUGGGCUUAACCCAGAAACUGCCAUUGAUACUAUCUGUCUUGAAUAUCCUGGAGGUGAGCGGAAUAUGUCAUGUAGCGGUGAAAUGCUUAGAUAUGACAUAGAACACCAAUUGCGAAGGCAGCUCACUACGGGGUUAUUGACACUGAGGCACGAAAGCGUGGGGAGCAAACAGG